rnacentral:misc_RNA from 1 species
UUUCCGUAGGUGAACCUGCGGAAGGAUCAUUGUCGAAACCUGCCCAGCAGAACGACCCGCGAACUUGUAUAAACAACUGGGGGCGGGGGGGCGUUCUCGCCCCGUGCCCCCGAACGGCGGGGAGACACUCGUGCCUUCCUGCCGAACAACGAACCCCGGCGCGGUCUGCGCCAAGGAACUUCAACUAAAGAGUGCCUCCGGUCGCCUCGGAAACGGCGUGCGUGCCGGAGGCGAAUCUUGUGCAAAACCAUAACGACUCUCGGCAACGGAUAUCUCGGCUCUC